CAUUAUUAAAAAAAUAUGUUUAAAAAAUGGGAUGAAAAUAAAAGUUUUGUUUAAAGAUUAACCAAUAUCAAGGAUAUUAAAUUCUGAAAGACAAGUAAUAUGCAUGGUUUAUGAAAAAUAGUCGAAAAAAGUUCUCAAAAACUCUUGAAGCUUUAAAUAGGAGUAACAUUUCCCAUAAGUAGAAAAUAAAAAAAUAUGUAAAAUAUAUUUAGUAAAGUUAAAUAUAUGACAUGUAUUUAUUAUCUAUGAAAUAUAAGUUUCUGGCCACUUUAAAUCAUAAAUACAUUUAGUUUAAAGCUCCUAUUAUAAGGGCGAUGAAUAAGGUUAAUAAAUAAAUUUACACAUUGAUUAUAAUUUCAAUAUCAUAGUUUUAGCAAUAGUGGGCUAAGAAAUGUGUAAGCAUAUUAAUGGUUUAAUUGUUUUGAAAGUAAUUCUUAAAGUGGCUAUAACACUAAUGAAUAUCAAAAAAGUAAGGUAAUAAUGAUUUUUUUUAAAUUUUCAUGAAUUAUCAAUGAAUCUAAACCUUAUGAAUGAUUGCUGAACAUUCAUCAGGUUUUGAUUAUUAGACAUUAUUAUCUAUCAAUUUGCUCAUCCACGACGGUUAAAACAGGCGUUCAAAAAAUGUGCUUGGGUUUGAGAUAAACAUGCGUUACGCGUAACGCUAGCGUAACGUAGAGGGCUGAGCCUUACUUUAACCCCAGUUUUCGGCAGGCUAGUGCAGCAGUUUCACAAAAAUUGCUCACACAUCAAUAUUUUUCAUUAUUUUUCUUGAAAGUGUUGUUAUUCUGGUUGAUAAACUAUCAUAGCUGUGUUCCUAUUUUCGGCAGCGCGAAUACGGGUCAGAAAAUGUUUGUAUCAAUGUGAAUAUGUACAAAAAAAUGUUUAAAGUAAUUUAACACUCUUACUUUCCUAAGAUUGGUGUUAAAAAGCACGUUAAUUAUUAAUUUUAUGUUGCUUAUUUUGGCCCGUUUUGACAGCCAUUUUGAUGCGACGUUUAAACAGAGCAGCCACGUACGGUGCGAACUGGCUUACAAAUAUUUAUUUUUCUCUUAAGUUAGUGCAUUGUUUGCCGUAAAAUUGGUGAUAUUUGGUACAAGAAAGGUCAUAUUAUGUGUCGACAUACGCAUUGUAUUGUUCUGAUCAAUUUUAAAAGGAAUAUUCAGCCAAAUUCAAAGUGUGUUAUUGUUCCGAGUUUCGGCAGGAGCCCACAAAAUUGAGCUGUCAAAAAUGAACAUUUACUGUGUACCUAUUUUCGGCAGCAUUUAAAGUGAAAAAUAACCUGUUUAUCGUGAUUUUAAAAUUCCGAACAAGUUAGAAUAAAUUAAAUAAGCAUAAAAUCUUUAACAUA